AUUGAACGCUGGCGGCAGGCCUAACACAUGCAAGUCGAGCGGAUGAAGGGAGCUUGCUCCUGGAUUCAGCGGCGGACGGGUGAGUAAUGCCUAGGAAUCUGCCUGGUAGUGGGGGAUAACGUCCGGAAACGGGCGCUAAUACCGCAUACGUCCUGAGGGAGAAAGUGGGGGAUCUUCGGACCUCACGCUAUCAGAUGAGCCUAGGUCGGAUUAACUAGUUGGUGGGGUAAAGGCCUACCAAGGCGACGAUCCGUAACUGGUCUGAGAGGAUGAUCAGUCACACUGGAACUGAGACACGGUCCAGACUCCUACGGGAGGCAGCAGUGGGGAAUAUUGGACAAUGGGCGAAAGCCUGAUCCAGCCAUGCCGCGUGUGUGAAGAAGGUCUUCGGAUUGUAAAGCACUUUAAGUUGGGAGGAAGGGCAGUAAGUUAAUACCUUGCUGUUUUGACGUUACCAACAGAAUAAGCGCCGGCUAACUUCGUG
rnacentral:rRNA from 1 species